UGAAACCAGGAUUAGAUACCCUACUAUACUAAGAUAAUAGGAAAAACUAGAAUAUUAAAAGAUAUAGUCUUUAAAUUCAAAGAAUUUGGCGGUAAUUUAGUCUUUCCAGAGGAACCUGUUUUUUAAUCGAUAAACCACGAAUAAUCUUACUUAUCUUUGUAAAUUUAAUAAGUUUGUAUACCGUCAUUAUCAGAUGAUAUUUAGAGAUGAUAUUAUUGGAUUUUAAAUAGUAAAAAAAAUUAGAUCAAGGUGCAGCUAAUAGAUAAGUUAAAAUGGGUUACAAUUAACUGGAUUUAAUAAUGAAUAAAGAUUUGAAAAAUCUUUGGAAGGAGGAUUUGGUUGUAAUUAAAAUUAGUAUGAUAAAAAGAUAUGAGCUC
rnacentral:rRNA from 1 species